rnacentral:ncRNA from 1 species
AAAUUGAAGAGUUUGAUCAUGGCUCAGAUUGAACGCUGGCGGCAGGCCUAACACAUGCAAGUCGAACGGUAACAGGAAGCAGCUUGCUGCUUCGCUGACGAGUGGCGGACGGGUGAGUAAUGUCUGGGGAUCUGCCUGAUGGAGGGGGAUAACUACUGGAAACGGUAGCUAAUACCGCAUAACGUCGCAAGACCAAAGAGGGGGACCUUCGGGCCUCUUGCCAUCAGAUGAACCCAGAUGGGAUUAGCUAGUAGGUGGGGUAACGGCUCACCUAGGCGACGAUCCCUAGCUGGUCUGAGAGGAUGACCAGCCACACUGGAACUGAGACACGGUCCAGACUCCUACGGGAGGCAGCAGUGGGGAAUAUUGCACAAUGGGCGCAAGCCUGAUGCAGCCAUGCCGCGUGUAUGAAGAAGGCCUUCGGGUUGUAAAGUACUUUCAGCGGGGAGGAAGGCGAUGCGGUUAAUAACCGCGUCGAUUGACGUUACCCGCAGAAGAAGCACCGGCUAACUCCGUGCCAGCAGCCGCGGUAAUACGGAGGGUGCAAGCGUUAAUCGGAAUUACUGGGCGUAAAGCGCACGCAGGCGGUCUGUCAAGUCGGAUGUGAAAUCCCCGGGCUCAACCUGGGAACUGCAUCCGAAACUGGCAGGCUUGAGUCUUGUAGAGGGGGGUAGAAUUCCAGGUGUAGC